rnacentral:tRNA from 1 species
GCUCAUAUAGCUCAGUUGGUAGAGCACACCCUUGGUAAGGGUGAGGUCGCCAGUUCGAUUCCGGCUAUGAGCA